ensembl:lncRNA
CACGUAUUCCCCAAGGUGUCUACAGCAUUGUGACAUAUUUUUACGCAUUUCCAUUAAAGAAUAGCCGCAAGGGAGCAUAUUUAGCAAGUGGUCACAUGGUGUCUCCCGCAGAAAAUCUUGCGUAAAAUACUGAGGUAAGCCAUUUUUCCAAUCGCUUCUUAUAAGAAACCAAUUGCCUCGACGGAUAUAUUAUCAAAUAUAUAUGUUAAAAACACCUUGAGGAUGGAUCCUAAACAACGUUUGCCGUGUUUCUGUCGAUAUUAUGGAGCUAAUUUUGAAAAAAGUUUGGCGUUGUAGUGGUAGCAUUUUCCGGUCGAUUUCUCAGCCAAGCAUGAUGAACAAACUGGAGCUAUUUCACCUACAAAAAUAAUAUUUUGGGAAAAAAGGAACAUUUGCUAUCUAACUGGGAGUCUCCUGAGUGAAAACAUCCGAAGUUCUUCAAAGCAAUACUUUGCCCUGACAAGAAAGAGCUGUUUGAAAAUGUCUCCCUGUCAAGACGAAGAAUAACACGUUGUGAUGAGGACAUCGCAGAGAAUAUGGAACAACAAGAUGACCUUCCGACACUACUCGUCUGUUCCCUAUCAGAUGAACAGCGGGAGAAGUGGACAUUGCCGCUGCGUGCUUUGAACGUUACUCACCCGGACCAUUUACCCCAUUCCCGCCUGGUCGUCGGAGGAUUCCCCUACCCCAUUGGAUCCACCUAUUUACUCCCAUCAACUCACCUCUGCUGCCCGCUACGCCACCUGGAUAUAUCUACCCAUUCACAUUCACUUGUAAAUAAAUACUCACCUUCUUCCUACUCUCCUUGUCCUGGUCUGCUUCUGGGUUCGAUUUUGAAAGAACGUGACACACGGUCCCCGCAGCCGGACAACUUUCUCA